rnacentral:lncRNA from 13 species
UUUUGACUGUGUAUUGGAUAUUUCAAGGAAUUGUUGGAAAACAGUUGUUUUGUAAUGUACCAAAAAUGUUGCUAAAUAUUCAGGGGCAAUGCAAUACCACUGACAGCCAAUUUUAGGAGAACAACAUGUGACUAAUUUGAGAUCUGUCUUUAGUGUUUGUUGAUCAUCCACUCAUUAUAUUUGUUUUGAGACUAAACCACUGACAAGGUUUUUACUUUGAGAAACUGUAAAAACUAUAUUAUGUUUCCUCUGUCAGACUUUAGAAGACUGCUGCAGCCCAUCCAUCUUUAGGUGGUGGGAUUCCCCUCCUGGUGGGGUUAUAGUGAUGGAGAGGCCUGAAGAUGAGGGGUCACCUGGUGGGGUUCUAGUAAUGGAGAAGCCUGAAGAAGAGGAGUCACCUGGUGGAGUUAUAGUGAUGGAGAAGCCUGAUGAUGAGGAGUCACCUGGUGCAACAGGUGGUGAAGGGGAUGGAAGAGACACCACACCUGUUCACAGCACUGGUACUCCUGAUGGCAUGUCAGCACUAGGAGUUAUGCUACAGGGCUUCAUGUUAAAUCAACAGCAGUCAAUGCAACAGCAACAGCAGUCAAUGCAACAGGCAAUGCAAUCCAUGCAGCAGCAGAUCAGCCAGCUACAGGAGGAGGUGCAGAAAGGAAAGACAAAGCAACAGUGUGUUGUGACCCCUUUACCAGCAGCAAACCCAGACACUUUGACAAGACCAGCUCCUCAGUCUCGAGGUAAGUUGUUCAUCAAAAAGAUGCAGCUCUUUGAGUAUAAAUAUACAAUAGACAACAAUUCAACAGUUCAUAAGCAGUGUGCAAACUAACCACUUU